rnacentral:rRNA from 1 species
GACGAACGCUGGCGGCGUGCUUAACACAUGCAAGUCGAACGGAAAGGCCCUGCUUUUGUGGGGUGCUCGAGUGGCGAACGGGUGAGUAACACGUGAGUAACCUGCCCUUGACUUUGGGAUAACUUCAGGAAACUGGGGCUAAUACCGGAUAGGAGCUCCUGCUGCAUGGUGGGGGUUGGAAAGUUUCGGCGGUUGGGGAUGGACUCGCGGCUUAUCAGCUUGUUGGUGGGGUAGUGGCUUACCAAGGCUUUGACGGGUAGCCGGCCUGAGAGGGUGACCGGCCACAUUGGGACUGAGAUACGGCCCAGACUCCUACGGGAGGCAGCAGUGGGGAAUAUUGCACAAUGGGCGGAAGCCUGAUGCAGCAACGCCGCGUGCGGGAUGACGGCCUUCGGGUUGUAAACCGCUUUCGCCUGUGACGAAGCGUGAGUGACGGUAAUGGGUAAAGAAGCACCGGCUAACUACGUGCCAGCAGCCGCGGUGAUACGUAGGGUGCGAGCGUUGUCCGGAUUUAUUGGGCGUAAAGGGCUCGUAGGUGGUUGAUCGCGUCGGAAGUGUAAUCUUGGGGCUUAACCCUGAGCGUGCUUUCGAUACGGGUUGACUUGAGGAAGGUAGGGGAGAAUGGAAUUCCUGGUGGAGCGGUGGAAUGCGCAGAUAUCAGGAGGAACACCAGUGGCGAAGGCGGUUCUCUGGGCCUUUCCUGACGCUGAGGAGCGAAAGCGUGGGGAGCGAACAGGCUUAGAUACCCUGGUAGUCCACGCUGUAAACGGUGGGUACUAGGUGUGGGGUCCAUUCCACGGGUUCCGUGCCGUAGUUAACGCUUUAAGUACCCCGCCUGGGGAGUACGGCCGCAAGGCUAAAACUCAAAGGAAUUGACGGGGCCCCGCACAAGCGGCGGAGCAUGCGGAUUAAUUCGAUGCAACGCGUAGAACCUUACCUGGGUUUGACAUGGAUCGGGAGCGCUCAGAGAUGGGUGUGCCUCUUUUGGGGUCGGUUCACAGGUGGUGCAUGGCUGUCGUCAGCUCGUGUCGUGAGAUGUUGGGUUAAGUCCCGCAACGAGCGCAACCCUUGUUCACUGUUGCCAGCACGUUAUGGUGGGGACUCAGUGGAGACCGCCGGGGUCAACUCGGAGGAAGGUGGGGAUGACGUCAAGUCAUCAUGCCCCUUAUGUCCAGGGCUUCACGCAUGCUACAAUGGCUGGUACAGAGAGUGGCGAGCCUGUGAGGGUGAGCGAAUCUCGGAAAGCCGGUCUCAGUUCGGAUUGGGGUCUGCAACUCGACCUCAUGAAGUCGGAGUCGCUAGUAAUCGCAGAUCAGCAACGCUGCGGUGAAUACGUUCCCGGG